GCAUUAGCGUGGCAGUCGGCCAGCUCUGCUGGAUGCUUUGCGUGGCCCCGUCGGUCUGUUCUUUACAGAAGCCAGACUGAUUUCUUUCAACGCGUGAUUCAAUCACAGCCAAAGCCUUAUUUUCUGAGAGAGAGAGCACAAGCGGGGGAACAUCAGGGAGAGGGAGAAGCAGACCCCCUGCUGAGCAAGGAGUGGAUGCGGGACUCCAUCCCAGGACUUUUGGGAUCCCAUGAUCAGAACCGAAGACAGACACUUAAUGGACUGAGCCACCCAGGUACCCUAACUUGUUUUUAUAAACCAUUGACUAGAUACAAAAAAAUUUUAUAAAGUAAAAAGAAGCACUUUUAUCACCAAACACCCUUAACUUAACACCAAGGGGAAAAAAUUAAACAUUUUUGUUACCUUUAGAGCCCCCUGCCUGCCUCCUCCUCCCUCCCCUUCCUCAGGGGGAACCUCUAUCCUGAGUUUAUGUGUCUCAUUACCUUGUUUUCAG
rnacentral:lncRNA from 1 species